GGGGGAAUAUUGCACAAUGGGGGAAACCCUGAUGCAGCGACGCCGCGUGAGUGAAGAAGUAUUUCGGUAUGUAAAGCUCUAUCAGCAGGGAAGAAAAAAUGACGGUACCUGACUAGAAAGCCCCGGCUAAUUAC
rnacentral:rRNA from 1 species